UACGUAGGGGGCGAGCGUUGUCCGGAAUUAUUGGGCGUAAAGCGCGUGUAGGCGGCCAGAAAAGUCCGCUGUGAAAACUCGAGGCUCAACUUCGAGCUGUCGGUGGAAACUUUCUGGCUAGAGUCCGGAAGAGGAGAAUGGAAUUCCUGGUGUAGCGGUGAAAUGCGCAGAUAUCAGGAAGAACACCCGUGGCGAAGGCGGUUCUCUGGGACGGUACUGACGCUGAGACGCGAAAGCGUGGGGAGCGAACAGG
rnacentral:rRNA from 1 species